AUUGAACGCUGGCGGCAGGCUUAACACAUGCAAGUCGAACGAGUGGCGGACGGGUGAGUAAUGCUUGGGAAUCUAGCUUAUGGAGGGGGAUAACUACGGGAAACUGUAGCUAAUACCCCGUACCAUAGGAUGAGCACAAGUGGGAUUAGGUAGUUGGUGAGGUAAAGGCUCACCAAGCCGACGAUCUCUAGCUGGUCUGAGAGGAUGACCGGCCACACUGGGACUGUGAAACGGCCCAGACUCCUCCGGGAGGCGGCAGUGGGGAAUAUUGCGCAAUGGGGGCAACCUGACGCAGCCAUGCCGCGUGAAUGAAGAAGGCCUUCGGGUUGUAAAGUUCUUUCGGUAGAGAGGCGUUAACUACAGAAGAAGCACCGGCUGACUCCGUGCCAGCAGCCGCGGUAAUAC
rnacentral:rRNA from 1 species